rnacentral:rRNA from 1 species
GACGAACGCUGGCGGCGUGCUUAACACAUGCAAGUCGAACGGAAAGGCCCUGCUUUUGUGGGGUGCUCGAGUGGCGAACGGGUGAGUAACACGUGAGUAACCUGCCCUUGACUUUGGGAUAACUUCAGGAAACUGGGGCUAAUACCGGAUAGGAGCUCCUGCUGCAUGGUGGGGGUUGGAAAGUUUCGGCGGUUGGGGAUGGACUCGCGGCUUAUCAGCUUGUUGGUGGGGUAGUGGCUUACCAAGGCUUUGACGGGUAGCCGGCCUGAGAGGGUGACCGGCCACAUUGGGACUGAGGUACGGCCCAGACUCCGACGGGAGGCAGCAGUGGGGAAUAUUGCACAAGGGGCGGAAGCCUGAUGCAGCAACGCCGCGUGCGGGAUGACGGCCUUCGGGUUGUAAACCGCUUGCGCCUGUGACGAAGCGUGAGUGACGGUAAUGGGUAAAGAAGCACCGGCUAACUACGUGCCAGCAGCCGCGGUAA